UAGGGAAUCUUCCACAAUGGACGCAAGUCUGAUGGAGCAACGCCGCGUGAGUGAAGAAGGUCUUCGGAUCGUAAAGCUCUGUUGUUGGUGAAGAAGGAUAGAGGCAGUAACUGGUCUUUAUUUGACGGUAAUCAACCAGAAAAUCACGGCUAACUACGUGCCAGCAGCCGCGGUAAUACGUAGGUGGCAAGCGUUGUCCGGAUUUAUUGGGCGUAAAGCGAGCGCAGGCGGAAUGAUAAGUCUGAUGUGAAAGCCCACGGCUCAACCGUGGAACUGCAUCGGAAACUGUCAUUCUUGAGUGCAGAAGAGGAGAGUGGAACUCCAUGUGUAGCGGUGGAAUGCGUAGAUAUAUGGAAGAACACCAGUGGCGAAGGCGGCUCUCUGGUCUGCAACUGACGCUGAGGCUCGAAAGCAUGGGUAGCGAACAGGAUUAGAUACCCUGGUAGUCCAUGCCGUAAACGAUGAGCGCUAGGUGUUGGGGACUUUCCGGUCCUCAGUGCCGCAGCAAACGCAUUAAGCGCUCCGCCUGGGGAGUACGACCGCAAGGUUGAA
rnacentral:rRNA from 1 species